CCUCUUCAGUCUCAUUUUUCCAAAGCCGUAACUCAUUUCUCACAUCAGUGCUUCACAAUGCCUUCACCUAUGCAAACGUUUGGUUUUCUCUUCCUCUGGUUUUCAUGUCAGGUGAACGCUGCAACAUUUCACCAAUCUCCUCCGCAGAUAGUGAAGGAGAAAACUGAAGUCCAUAUUAACUGCAGCCAUGAUGAUACUAACCUUGUAGUAAUGCUCUGGUAUCAGCAGAGAAUGGACAGUCAGGCUCUGAACCUCAUUGGAUACGGAUAUGAAAAUGCCCCAAACUACGAGGAGCAGUUUAAAGGACAGUUUACAAUGACGAGAAAAAGCGCAGUGGAAGGAGCUCUGAUUAUAAACGAAGCGAGCCUGUCACACUCUGCUGUGUAUUUCUGUGCAGCCAGUACACAAUACACAGAGGCUUACUUUGGAGCUGGAACUAAACUCACUGUUUUAGAAGACAAGCGUGAACCCAAAGCACCAACAGUGAAAGUGAUUGAACCUUCAAAAAAGGAGUGUCGAAGCAAGAAAGACAAGAGCAGAAAGAAGACCUUGCUUUGCGUGGCCGAGGAUUUCUACCCAGACCAUGUUACUGUGCACUGGGAGAUUGACGGGAAGACGGUCACCAAAGGUGUGGCAACUGACAACGCUGCCUGGCGGGAUGGCAAGUACUACAAAAUCACCAGCAGGCUGAGAGUCCCUGCCGACGACUGGUUCAAACCUGAGAGUAUAUUCACGUGCACUGUCAAGUUCUACGAUGGGAGUACAUAUCAGAAUAUUUCAUCUCAUAUUGAUGGUGGCAAAGAUGAAAUUGUCCUCCUCACCAGAGAGAAAUAUCUGAGGGCCACACACAGUGCCAAACUCUCAUACAGCGUUUUUAUCAUCAAGAGCAGCAUCUAUGGAGCCUUUGUAGUGUUCUUGGUGUGGAAACUUCAGGGUUCAGCUGGAAAGCAGAAGGACUGAGAGCUGAGCUGAGGCAAAUGAACUCUGGGAGAUGGAUUAUCUUGAUUUAUGUAAAUAAAAUUGAAAACGCAGUAGUUAUAUUUCCACAAAGCUGUAUGUUACUGAGCAUCUGCACUUAUAUCAAUGAGCCAUUCAAAGUCUAGAUGGACAGUUCUGUACUUAUCCUUGUUGUAAUGUUAAAGCCAUAACGGACAUGCAAAUAGUUUUGGAUUAAAAUUUUAUAGAUAACAAUUCUGUGCAUUUGUUUUUGGUUGUAAAAUACUUGCUUGCUAAAGUUUCUUCUAAAUAAAAGCAUUUCAGUGGA